AACCUGUGAUAUUUUUAGGAACUCAGAGGUGUUGUGGUCCCCAGGAAGUGUUGCCCAGGACUAGGCAGGAGACUUCAGGCUUUGUCACCCCCAGAGCGAGGGUCCGGGGGCAGGCGAGUGGGG